GACAAUCCCAUCGACCGGAAGGAAUUCCUUCUGAUCAAUGAGGUCUAACAACCUCAUUGACUGGAAGGAAUUCCUUCUGAUCAAUGAGGUCUAAGAACCUCAUUGAUCAGAAGGAAUUCCUUCCGGUCGAUGGGAUUGUC
rnacentral:miRNA from 1 species